CCUACGGGAGGCUGCAGUGGGGAAUAUUGCACAAUGGGGGAAACCCUGAUGCAGCAACGCCGCGUGAGUGAAGAAGUAUCUCGGUAUGUAAAGCUCUAUCAGCAGGGAAGAAAAUGACUGUACCUGACUAAGAAGCCCCGGCUAAAUACGUGCCAGCAGCCGCGGUAAUACGUAGGGGGCAAGCGUUAUCCGGAUUUACUGGGUGGAAAGGGAGCGUAGACGGUGUGGAAAUUCUGAAGUGAAAGCCCGGGGCGCAACCCCGGGACUGCUUUGGAAACUGUCAUGCUGGAGUGCUGGAGAGGUAAGUGGAAUUCCUAGUGUAGCGGUGAAAUGCGUAGAUAUUAGGAGGAACACCAGUGGCGAAGGCGGCUUACUGGACAGUAACUGACGUUGAGGCUCGAAAGCGUGGGGAGCAAACAGGAUUAGAUACCCGAGUAGUC
rnacentral:rRNA from 1 species